rnacentral:misc_RNA from 1 species
AGGGAGAUUUAAUAUUAAGAAGAGUAAUUACUACCUUUGUAACUCGAGUUUAAAGGCUACCUUUUCGGUGACUGCACAGACACAAGACUUCACUGUCUUCAAAUGGUAAAGUUUACAAGAACAUGAAAAUUUAAACAGCAGUUCAAAAAAUAAAAUUCUUUUAAAGUAGUAGCAGCUAGUGAUUGACAAUGUAUUAUUUCUGUACUUUGGGUCUUAGCAUUGAUUGUUUUCUACCAAGAGCAAUUCUUGAGGAAAAUGGAACACAAAUCUGUUUCUUUCUGUCAUGCUAGAAGAAAACUCAACAGAGAAUAUUUUUCUAUAAAUUGACAUUUCGGUAAAUGUUCAAUCACUUCUGCGCUGCUGCUUCAGCAGGGGUCUUG